rnacentral:rRNA from 1 species
GGCCAGACUCCUACGGGAGGCAGCAGUGAGGAAUAUUGGUCAAUGGCCGAGAGGCUGAACCAGCCAAGUCGCGUGAGGGAAGAAUGUCCUAAGGAUUGUAAACCUCUUUUGUCGGGGAGCAAAAAGGCUCUGCGGAGUCGUAUUGAGAGUACCCGAAGAAAAAGCAUCGGCUAACUCCGUGCCAGCAGCCGCGGUAAUACGGAGGAUGCGAGCGUUAUCCGGAUUUAUUGGGUUUAAAGGGUGCGCAGGCGGCGUGUCAAGCAAGCGGUAAAAUAGCGGGGCUCAACCCCGUCGAGCCGUUGAAACUGGCUUGCUAGAGUGGGCGAGAAGUAUGCGGAAUGCGUGGUGUAGCGGUGAAAUGCAUAGAUAUCACGCAGAACUCCGAUUGCGAAGGCAGCAUACCGGCGCCCAACUGACGCUCAGGCACGAAAGCGUGGGUAUCGAACAGGAUUAGAUACCCUGGUAA